rnacentral:rRNA from 1 species
GCCUAACACAUGCAAGUCGAGCGGUAGAGAGAAGCUUGCUUCUCUUGAGAGCGGCGGACGGGUGAGUAAUGCCUAGGAAUCUGCCUGGUAGUGGGGGAUAACGUUCGGAAACGGACGCUAAUACCGCAUACGUCCUACGGGAGAAAGCAGGGGACCUUCGGGCCUUGCGCUAUCAGAUGAGCCUAGGUCGGAUUAGCUAGUUGGUGGGGUAAUGGCUCACCAAGGCGACGAUCCGUAACUGGUCUGAGAGGAUGAUCAGUCACACUGGAACUGAGACACGGUCCAGACUCC